rnacentral:tRNA from 1 species
GUGUAUGUAUUAUAAUUUGGAUUAUACUUGAUUUGCAUUCAUGAGAUUGUUGUACACG